GCUAGAUAAUAUUUUAGGGGCACAAUUUUGUAAUAAGCAUUUUCAGGGGAAAUAACUCCAAAAUUAAUUUCCAUGUUUACGUCUGCUUGUCGCUCACAAGUUGAGAUGUACGAUGUUUCUGUGUCAGAAGGCAUAGUUUUAUUUUGAUUACUUCAAUUCAAUUCUAAAUUCAUGAAAGUCUUCAUUCGCACACACUUUCAUUGUGACUUGAAGAUCGAAAGAAAAUGCCGACACAUUCAUCAUAUUUAUGACAAAAAGGUACAUUGUCUUAAUUAAAUUACCUAGUAAUUAACACCUUUAAUUGAAGUCUUAUCCACAAUAAUUGAUUGUAAUGACAUGAUAAACCUCAUUACCUGGGGGCAAUCACCAGGUGUCAUAUUUGUAAUUCAACUUCUGAUAAGAAAUCGAUGAAACAAAGGCAAUUUUACCAAAACGGCACAAGGUUUUUUUUGGAAAACGGCGUCAGGGCAGAAGGGCGCGACUGAGGGCACACAGGGCGCGGCUGAGGGCACCCAGGGCGCGGC
rnacentral:lncRNA from 1 species